GUCGACAAUACUCUAGAGAAUCAUUUCUAUAGGUUUUGUCCCAUCUUCUAUGUUUCCCAACAUAGCUACAGAUCCCACCCAGGUUGAUGACUACAAAUCCUCGACUGCCCUAGAGUGAAACACCAUUUUUUACUCUCGUCCUGCCUGCAAAGGUGGCGGCUUGCCCUCUUCGGAGGCUGGCUGUAUAGAGAGUGGUGAUGAUCUCUUACCCCGAUCUUCCAAGGGUCUUGCCUUCGGGCGCUUUGGCGGGGUGGCUUUCGAUGGACGUCUGACUGGC
rnacentral:snoRNA from 1 species